rnacentral:misc_RNA from 1 species
UUAAGUUCAGCGGGUACUCCUACCUGAUCCGAGGUCAACCGAGAAAGAAAUAAUCUGGAUCGGCCGGCGCCCACCAGGCCCUCUUGAGCGGAACAGUCACCCAUUCACUCAGGCGCCCAGAGGUCGCCGCCACUGCCUUUCGGACCCGUCCCCGGGGGGACGGCGGUCCAUCACACAAGCCGCGCUUGAAGGUUGCAAUG